rnacentral:rRNA from 1 species
AACGAACGCUGGCGGCAUGCCUAACACAUGCAAGUCGAACGAGACCUUCGGGUCUAGUGGCGCACGGGUGCGUAACGCGUGGGAACCUGCCCUUAGGUUCGGAAUAACUCCCCGAAAGGGGUGCUAAUACCGGAUAAUGUCUUCGGACCAAUGAUUUAUCGCCUUUGGAUGGGCCCGCGUUGGAUUAGCUAGUUGGUAGGGUAAAAGCCUACCAAGGCGAAGAUCCAUAGCUGGUCUGAGAGGAUGAUCAGCCACACUGGGACUGAGACACGGCCCAGACUCCUACGGGAGGCAGCAGUGGGGAAUAUUGGACAAUGGGCGAAAGCCUGAUCCAGCAAUGCCGCGUGAGUGAUGAAGGCCUUAGGGUUGUAAAGCUCUUUUACCCGGGAUGAUAAUGACAGUACCGGGAGAAUAAGCUCCGGCUAACUCCGUG